AAGCUUAGUUAUUCUUAGUUGUGCUGUCUAAACACAGUGAUGCCCCAACAGGACGUUGGGGCAAACAAUCAGCGACACGAUGUAGUAUUGAUUGUGGUCACGUCUGUAUUUCAAUACAUAAAUCAGCACAUCUUAGAAUUACUUAGCU
rnacentral:ncRNA from 1 species